rnacentral:misc_RNA from 1 species
GAUGAAGAACGCAGCGAAAUGCGAUAAGUAAUGUGAAUUGCAGAAUUCAGUGAAUCAUCGAAUCUUUGAACGCACAUUGCGCCCCCUGGUAUUCCGGGGGGCAUGCCUGUUCGAGCGUCAUUUCAACCUUCAAGCUCUGCUUGGUAUUGGGCCCUGCCCGCUGCGGCCGGCCCUAAAGACAGUGGCGGUGCCGCCUGGCCCUGAGCGUAGUACAUCUCUCGCUCCAGUGCCCGGUGGUAGCCUGCCAGAACCCCAACUCUCGUGGUUGACCUCGGAUCAGGUAGGGAUACCCGCUGAACUUAAGCAUAUCAAUAAGCGGAGGA